CCUACGGGUGGCUGCAGUGGGGAAUAUUGCACAAUGGGCGAAAGCCUGAUGCAGCAACGCCGCGUGAGCGAUGAAGGCCUUCGGGUCGUAAAGCUCUGUCCUCAAGGAAGAGAAUGACGGUACUUGAGGAGGAAUCCCCGGCUAACUACGUGCCAGCAGCCGCGGUAAUACGCGGGGGGCUAGCGUUAUCCGGAAUUACUGGGCGUAAGGGGGGCGGAGGUGGUUUCUUAUGGCAGAGGUAAAAGGCUGCGGCUCAACCGUAGUAAGCCUUUGAAACUGGGGAACUUGAGUGCAGGAGAGGAGAGUGGAAUUCCUAGUGUAGCGGUGAAAUGCGUAGAUAUUAGGAGGAACACCAGUUGCGAAGGCGGCUCUCUGGACUGUAACUGACACUGAGGCACGAAAGCGUGGGGAGCAAACAGGAUUAGAUACCCCGGUAGUC
rnacentral:rRNA from 1 species